rnacentral:rRNA from 1 species
AUUGAACGCUGGCGGCAUGCUUUACACAUGCAAGUCGAACGGUAACAGGUUAAGCUGACGAGUGGCGAACGGGUGAGUAAUGCAUCGGAACGUGCCCAAUCGGGGGGGAUAACGCAGCGAAAGCUGCGCUAGUACCGCAUACGAUCUGAGGAUGAAAGCGGGGGACCGUAAGGCCUCGCGCGAUCGGAGCGGCCGAUGUCAGAUUAGGUAGUUGGUGGGGUAAAGGCUCACCAAGCCAACGAUCUGUAGCUGGUCUGAGAGGACGACCAGCCACACUGGGACUGAGACACGGCCCAGACUCCUACGGGAGGCAGCAGUGGGGAAUUUUGGACAAUGGGCGAAAGCCUGAUCCAGCAAUGCCGCGUGCAGGAAGAAGGCCUUCGGGUUGUAAACUGCUUUUGUACGGAGCGAAAAGGCCCUCUCUAAUACAGUGGGCUCAUGACGGUACCGUAAGAAUAAGCACCGGCUAACUACGUGCCAGCAGCCGCCGUAA